UACAGAGGGGGCAAGCGUUGUUCGGAAUUACUGGGCGUAAAGGGCGCGUAGGCGGCGUGGUAAGUCAGCUGUGAAAUCUCCGAGCUUAACUCGGAACGGUCAGCUGAUACUGCUGUGCUAGAGUACAGAAAGGGCAAUCGGAAUUCUUGGUGUAGCGGUGAAAUGCGUAGAUAUCAAGAGGAACACCUGAGGCGAAGGCGGGUUGCUAGGCUGAUACUGACGCUGAGGCGCGAAAGCUAGGGUAGCAAACGGG
rnacentral:rRNA from 1 species